GUCGCGGGUGUGCUGGAGCUUAUCACAGCUAUCUUCGGGCGAGAGGCGGGUUCUGAGGACCGAGGUUCAAAGCCGGCCUCGCCUGCGUGGGUUUUCUCUGGAUACUCCAGUUUCCUCCCAUCUCCCAAAAACAUGCAUGUCCAGGGUGUACCCCGCCUCUUGCCCAGAGUCAGCUGGGUUAGGCUCCAGCACGCCCGCGACACUAACGAGGAUAAACAGUACGAAAAAUGGAUGGAUGGUAAAUAUCUAGCCUGCUGUCUGAGUGGUUGUGUUUUAAACUAGUAAGCACUGGAAUCUGAAUGAAUUACUGUUCUCAAUGGUCUUGUCUCUUCUACCCACUGUGUUGCUAAUAAAAUGGCUACCAUUUCCCCUGUCUAUACUGAUAACCCCUCGCUGAUUUGUUUCCCCACUUUGAUCUGAAACUCUGGAAUAAUAAAUGACACUCCUACUUUGUUACUUAUGUUCUUUCAAGCAUCUGUGCAUAUUUUGACAUACUGUAACUGUGAUAACCGUCUAUGUAUUCCUGUACGUCAACAAAUUGAAGUAUUAUUUUCUUAUUUUUCUUUUCUAGGAGUGUGAGUUGUACAUUGGCAUCAGCCAUUAACCAAGGCUGUAUUGUUGUUAAUGGUACAGUUAGUGUGACAUCCAAUUGAUCUAUUUUAAGUUCUACUCUUCUGUGUUGUUGUACACCCAAAACUUUUUAUUUUAUUUGAUGACUGUGUCCUUCUCAUUCUGAACAGCAUUUCUCCCAUUUCCACUUGUUGUUUUGAAUGCCACUGAACACAAUCUUAAUGCUUUAAUCCUGGAUUUUAUCGAACUUCUCUAAAUUUGUGCUUGUUGCUGACACAUAUGUAAUACACCCAUAAUCUACUAUUUAUUUUAUUAAUCCAGUGUAUAUAGCUUUCAUAGCAAGUCUAGCUGCUCCCUUGUUCCUCCCAACUAUAUACUUCAUAAUAUUUAAAAUUUUCUUACGUUGAGGCACAAUAUGCUCAG